UGGGGAAUUUUGCGCAAUGGGCGAAAGCCUGACGCAGCAACGCCGCGUGAGGGAUGAAGGUUUUAGGAUCGUAAACCUCUGUCAGAAGGGAAGAACCACCUGUAGUAUAAUACACUGCAGGCUUGACGGUACCUUCAAAGGAAGCACCGGCUAACUCCGUGCCAGCAGCCGCGGUAAUACGGAGGGUGCAAGCGUUGUUCGGAAUUAUUGGGCGUAAAGCGCGUGUAGGCGGUUUUUUAAGUCUGAUGUGAAAGCCCCGGGCUUAACCUGGGAAGUGCAUUGGAAACUGGAAGACUUGAGUACGGGAGAGGAAAGCGGAAUUUCGAGUGUAGGGGUGAAAUCCGUAGAUAUUCGAAGGAACACCAGUGGCGAAGGCGGCUUUCUGGACCGAUACUGACGCUGAGACGCGAGAGCGUGGGGAGCAAACA
rnacentral:rRNA from 1 species